UAUUAAAAGUUUUAUCUAUUUAUACUGAUAAAAACUGAUAUUGUUGAUGAAAUAAUUAAACAGUGACAUGUCACGUGUCAUAUAUAUCUGAUGUACAAGAACUAAUUUUUAACAGCAUAAACGGAUGAAAUUUUUAACG
rfam:Gossypium hirsutum cultivar TM-1 unplaced genomic scaffold scaffold290.1, whole genome shotgun sequence